UGGCGAUAGACAGGGAAUGAGCGAGGCAUCGAUCGGAUCACGCCUUUGAGUGAUCAAUCUACACUUCCGCGAUAAAGGAGUCGUCUUCCCUCUGGACUUGCACGUUGGUAGAAAGCGGACAGGGAAAGACCGAUGGAGGUGAAGAUAAUGAGGAAGGGAGAGAAGACUCCUAAAAAGAACCUCCGGAAGCCUUCGCGCCAAGGCGUGCUGAACUUUGUGUCGACAGCUUGGGCUGCUGUAUCUGAAGAGGUGACCACGCAAUCGUUCAAGUGGUGUGAGAUCAGCGUCACGUUGGACGGCAGCGAGCACGGGCACUUGCAUAGCACGAGUGUCAGCGACGAAUGGAUUUACCUCCUAUUCAGCACAGACUUGGAAGAGUCAUUCACUGGGUUCAGUCACAAUGAGUAGGUGCUCGUGUACCCCAUCAUUUACCACUUGAACAUGAACAUGCUUUCUUCGAUUCCGUAGCCACCGUAGCCUUGCCUUGAAGUUUUUUAUUGGCCGCCAUCUUGGUACUUACUGCUUCAACUGGACAAGCGCCCAUAUCUAGACCUAGAAAGUGGGGUGCGCGCUACUGCGGUAUUUUACGGUAGUUGCACAACACUUUUCGUAUUUCGUGAGCUUUCUUUCAGGCUUGGAAGCAAGUUUUAUCUAGCACAUGUUGUGGAACAGAAAGCUGGAUGG